rnacentral:rRNA from 1 species
AUUGAACGCUGGCGGCAGGCCUAACACAUGCAAGUCGAACGGUAACAGGAAACGGCUUGCUGUUUCGCUGACGAGUGGCGGACGGGUGAGUAAUGUCUGGGAAACUGCCUGAUGGAGGGGGAUAACUACUGGAAACGGUAGCUAAUACCGCAUAACGUCGCAAGACCAAAGAGGGGGACCUUCGGGCCUCUUGCCAUCGGAUGUGCCCAGAUGGGAUUAGCUAGUAGGUGGGGUAACGGCUCACCUAGGCGACGAUCCCUAGCUGGUCUGAGAGGAUGACCAGCCACACUGGAACUGAGACACGGUCCAGACUCCUACGGGAGGCAGCAGUGGGGAAUAUUGCACAAUGGGCGCAAGCCUGAUGCAGCCAUGCCGCGUGUAUGAAGAAGGCCUUCGGGUUGUAAAGUACUUUCAGCGGGGAUGAAGGGAGUAAAGUUAAUACCUUUGCUCAUUGACGUUACCCGCAGAAGAAGCACCGGCUAACUCCGUG